AUGAAACAGCCGCUCUAGCAAGCUUGUGAGCAAUCGAGUUUGCUUGUCGCUUAAUAAACUUCACCUGGAAGAAGUUUGAAUAUAAAGACAACACAUUCUUAAUCAUUACAAUUAAAGAACUAAAUUCAGAGAUGUCAUUGAUUCGACGAUGGAUUGCAUCCACAAUACUUUUGAAGUCGGUUUCAAAAAUGACAUUUGUUAGGCCUAUGCGUUCCACUUCCUUCAUAGCAUCAAGUAAAGCCAUAGCCUCUCCUUCAAUGAUAGAGC
rnacentral:lncRNA from 1 species